UUUAGGGGAGAGAGAUGGUGAAACUAUUUUGUCUUUUUUUUAAUAUAAGGUAAUUAAAAUUUUGAAAAUUUUAUGUUUUUUUUUCUAUGUGAUUGAAGGAUAGUAGUUUGAUUUUGAUAAUUUAGAAGGUCCUGACAUUUGUGAUUUAAAAGAAUAAUAAUAGAGUUAUCAAUUUUAAAGAUUUGAAUAAGUAAUUUGAUGAUAUUAUUUUAUAUGAUGAGAAUUUUUUUGUGACGUAAAAGUUUAAUUUGUGGUCGAUAAAAAUUUUAG
rnacentral:lncRNA from 1 species